rnacentral:rRNA from 1 species
UACGAAGGGUGCAAGCGUUUUUCGGAAUUACUGGGCGUAAAGGGUGCGUAGGCGGUUGUUUAAGUCUGGCGUGAAAUCCCCGGGCUCAACCUGGGAAUGGCGAUGGAUACUGGGCAGCUAGAGUGUGUCAGAGGAUGGUGGAAUUCCCGGUGUAGCGGUGAAAUGCGUAGAGAUCGGGAGGAACAUCAGUGGCGAAGGCGGCCAUCUGGGACAACACUGACGCUGAAGCACGAAAGCGUGGGGAGCAAACAGG